rnacentral:misc_RNA from 1 species
AUACUCAAAACCUAACAAUUUAGCGUUAAGAGUAGAGAUAAAAGCAUAUUUGCAUGACAAUGUAUCAGCAACUGCAUUUUCCUUACCUUGCUUAUAAUGGAUAACAUAAAGAAAAGUCAAUAAAUUCCAUCCACUUGGCAUCCCUACGGUUGAGCUUGUUUUGCCCUUUCAAGCGUUUCAAUGACUCGUGGUCAGAAUGAAUCACGAACUCCUUUGGCCACAAGUAAUGCUGCCAUGUCUCCAAUGCUUGCACCAAGGCAUAAAGCUCUUUGUCAUACGUUGAGUA